UCUUGUGUUUCCGGUUUCAAA
rnacentral:piRNA from 1 species